AGGGCAAGUCUGGUGCCAGCAGCCGCGGUAAUUCCAGCUCCAAUAGCGUAUAUUAAAGUUGUUGCAGUUAAAAAGCUCGUAGUUGAAUUUCGGGGUUCUACCGUUGGUCGGGCUUUGUCUGUACUGGCGUGUAGAAUUUCUACCUUCUGGGGAACCAUUAUGUUAUUAAUUUAGCGUAGUGGGAAACCAGGACCUUUACCUUGAAAAAAUUAGAGUGUUCAAAGCAGGCUUAUGUCUGAAUACAUUAGCACGGAAUAAUAGAAUAGGACGGUGGUCCUGUUUUGUUGGUUUCUGAAUCACCGUAAUGAUUAAUAGGGAUAGUUGGGGGCAUUAGUAUUCAAUUGUCAAAGGUGAAAUUCUUGGAUUUAUUGAAGACUAACUUCUGCGAAAGCAUUUGCCAAGGAUGUUUUCAUUAAUCAAGAACGAAAGUUAGGGGAUCGAAGACGAUCAGAUACCGUCGUAGUCUUAACCAUAAACUAUGCCGACUAGGGAUCGGACGAUGUUAAUUUUUCUUGACUCGUUCGGCGCCUUACGGGAA
rnacentral:rRNA from 1 species